rnacentral:lncRNA from 1 species
GAAAAGCAUGAUGCAUUGACUAUUUUUGAGUAAGACACAAAAUGAUUGUGGGAGACUUGUUUGUUCCUGGUUCUGCAAGGAGCAAUUCUUGGAUUAUAACAGUACAGACUUAUCACAGUUUUGUGCUCUCACCUUCUCCUCAUGAAAUCCUGCCAACAUUCCUCGGGAAAAAUGUCAUGAGAACGUGAGGUCCUCUCAGGUCCCAUCCCUACAAGUCUUCUCCCUCCUUUCCUCUGUCAUCAAGACUCAGACACCAGGAUGUCAAAAGUUUUAGCAGUGAACGCUUCCUCUAGGUCUCCUGCAGCCUCGGUUUCAAAGAAGCGGGCGGAUUCCAUCCGUGUUCCACUGGAUGUGCCUCGCGUUCCAGAUUUCGAAGGAGUAGUGCUCCAUGUCCUUAGCUUUUUUUUUUUUUUUUUUUUUUUUUUCAAUGUGUUUAGCUAUUUCUUGUACUGUCUGGCCUGAGAGAUUUCAAACUCUUUGAAUGCCAGAAAAGAAACUGAACUCCCCUUUUGGAAUACAGUAGGGUUAAUUUUAGUACCUUCAACUUUCACUCUAUGCGUUUCCCUGAGUAAAAAUUACCUAUGAAAUUUUCAGAUAACUUGAAGUAUUUUCCAAUUUGGGUUCCGCUUUUCUUCUAGCAUUGACAACCACCUGCCACUCACUGAAUUCCCACUUACUCAGAUGCUGCAGUAUAUUCUCACUUGACUGUUCCAGGACUUGGAAAGUGUUCAUCUACCAAACUCCCACUCACCUUCUAUUUCCAACUUCACCACGUAAUUUACUCUGAAUCUGAAGGAAGAAACUCUGACUUGCCCGAAUUGGUGAUUUCACUCUGCAUGCUUCUAUUUUGGAAAUUGUGGUGAUGUGGAAAAUCAGGGCUGAUCUCAAAGUCUUCUGAUGAAUACAGAACAUAAAAGCAUAGAAUAAAGAGGUUAAUGUGCAUUCCCAAAGGACUAGGAUGCUAAGCCUCCCUGAGGACUUCCUGGAUUCUACCAAGGUAGAGUAACUGUACUAAGCCAUUGAAUCUGAGGAAUUAUCUGCAAAACAAUUAGGAAUGCUACCAUGACAAGUAAGAGUCAUUUUUCAAAGAAGAUCCUUUUUCUGAUAUCUACAUGCAUUUUCCUUGUAUUUAAUAAGAAAGAAUUUCUUGGGCAGCAUCACAAAUGAAUCAACCAUGUUUUCUGUUUCUUAUUCUCAGC